rnacentral:rRNA from 1 species
UACAGAGGGUGCGAGCGUUGUCCGGAAUCACUGGGCGUAAAGGGCGCGUAGGCGGCUUGAUAAGGUCGCGGUGAAAGCCCGGGGCUCAACCCCGGGUCGGCCGUGGCAACUGUCGAGCUGGAGCACUGUAGAGGCAGGUGGAAUUCCGGGUGUAGCGGUGGAAUGCGUAGAGAUCCGGAAGAACACCGGUGGCGAAGGCGGCCUGCUGGGCAGUGGCUGACGCUGAGGCGCGACAGCGUGGGGAGCAAACAGG